GUCGGUUAGCAUGUGUGCAUUUUUACCAUGGGGCCUGGGACGGCCAUUCCACCUCCGGAUUUCUCAUCAAAGCCACCAGACAUUUGAGGAGAAAAGUUCUGUGGAGGGACAAGAAGAAAAAGCAAAGACCUUAUUCUGGCCUAAACAAACUCUGGAAGUUUUGCACCUGGCCUGAAGGUACAUUUAAGUUACACCUUUUACCGGUUGGAGAAAUUUAGUAUUUUCCCACUUUAGGAUAAGAUACUUACUCCACCAAGGCCAGGAGGUCCAGGGGGGCCUGGGGGCCCAGGAAGGCCAGGCUGUCCAGGGAUUCCAUCAUUGCCAGCUGGGCCGGCAGGACCCUGUUUAAGGUCAAAGGAAGGGAAAAUUAGGAUUUAAGGGGAUGAG